UAAAUUAUAUAAGUAAAUAUUGAAUUAAACUAUCCAAUCAUAUAUAACUAAAAUCAAAUUUUUGUAUAAACAAUAAUUUUUUAUCUUAAAAAUAUUUUGUAUAUUUUCUCAAGCAUACAACUAAGGGUGCGUUUGGUUCGAGUUAUCCUGGCAGGAUUACAGACAAUCCUAUUAGGAUAACUGUGUUUGGUUAAUCCGCUAUGUAAUCUAGUCGUUAAUGUAGCAUUACAAAUCGAGCAGGAUUACAUCGAAAAUAUUAACGGGAGGAGGGUCGUGUAUCUUGCAUUACUGAAACCCGUUAAUACUACGUAUUAUAUAAAAUGACAAUUUUACCCUCCAACAACCCAAAAUCUAAUUAACAGCAUUAUUUUCAUCUCUCUAGACUUCCCCUCUCCCCCUCUCUCUCGCACGCCACUCUCUCUCUCUCUCUCUCUCUCUCUCUC
rnacentral:lncRNA from 1 species